AACGGUUAGUGUGCCGCUCAAACUCCGAGCAGGACCGAAGAUGUCAAGCUUAUUUACAGCUACUAGCAAUGUCACUGGGUCUGUCGACUAAGGCGCUACUACAAAAGCUGGUGGUGGAAGGAGGCGGCUCAGAAAUGUAGAGACGAUGACGUAGAUGGCGAGAGAGUGGAUUGCAUACCCACAGAGAGUAUGAUCGGGUAUCUCUGACAAGUCUGACCAAAAGCUGUUAAAGUUCAGACUUCACACUCUGCUACAAGGAGGUCACCCUUAAUUUGGAAGCAGUCAAGCUAGAACAACAAACAUGUGUCCCAUACAAACCAGAGGUGGGAACCUACUUGACACAGACAGCCUUGCAGAACCGGUCCAAAAGUAACAACAGUACCGCAACAACAUAAUGAGGAGUCUAUAUGAAAUGCAGUGUACAAUUUGUGCGAUGAGGUCGAUGCUAUGCAACCCUUUGCAGUCAACAAUUGCCACCACUUCAGUGAAAACUUCACAUUUGGAUUUGUCACUGAAAAAAACCCACAUGGAUGAAAGAGAAUCCCUUGGCUGAGGAUAUUAUUACAGAAUGAUCCCCUAACUCCCAUCCAAUCAUUCAACUGAAAGACCACGACUGGAAAACUGCCCUCUACAGACAUUGCAGUGUUUUCAAAUUGGAAGGAAUUGAAGUUUGUUCCUGCACUUCAGUGGAUGCCUCAUCCAGUUUAUCACAGCCUUCUGCUUCGUCUUCAACAUGACAUAUCCUACAAACUUUCAAAAGACCCUGAACUUUCUCCGAAGGCACAUCAUGGACUUUAUGGAAGAUUGAGACAAACCCCUGCUGGUAACUGUAACUUGAGGCAUUAACCUUCUUUACUGAAAAUGCCUGGACUGCAUUACUGUUUGAAAUGUUCAAAGAGGACCUUUGCUCUGAGGCAAGUGAUUCAACACACUGGACUUGUACAUGCCCACAAACCUUUCUUUUCGGUGGCAUGUUUAUUGAAAACACAAAGACAAAAUUUCUAAUUGCUGAAAAAAAACCCUGAAGAACCUUUCAAAUAACUAGUAUAACUUACCCACACCUGGUAUUUUAAAGAUGUGCAGUUUCAGGAUACAGUACUUCAGCGUAUGUCAUCUUUAUCUGGUAAUGGUGUCAAAGGAUGUUUUUGUUGUAGGUAAUGUACACCCUGAAGCCAUCUCUUUAUUGAAAAUUAAUCACAAUCUGAACAUUGAGACUUUGUGUGUUGGGGUGUUGUGUAGGAAACUUGUCAUCAAUUGGAAUCUGCUAAAUCCACCAUCAGGCUCUAGACACAUUUAGUUGAUGGUAGAUUCAUUGAGGUAUUUCUGUCUAAAUAUUAUCUGCCAAAAUAUAUUUUUUUACUUUUUGUCUAAAUAUGCUUAUACUGUUUUGUUGAUGCAUAGUGUACAUGCAGACGUGGGACAAAUCAAAGUAUCUUUUGUUCUAUGUGUUCUGUAGUUUCAGAGUAGGUGUAGUUUCAUAUUUUUUGUAAAACUAUCUGCAAUGAAUUAACUUUGUAUUACCACAAAUACAUGUCAUGUUCAUCUGGAAAAUUACAUUUUCAUUGAUGUCAAUAAACAGUCAAAGUAUUAUUGUGUGGAGAAUUAUGGUACAUUUUUGUCUCCUUAAAGUCCAGAAUAGCUUGUCGCAGGGGUGGUACCCUUAAUAGGACAUUUUAGUACCCUUUUAAUGGGUACAUUAUUGUACUAUAGUUUAAAAGGUACGUUUAUGUCUUGCAGGGUACACAAUUGUACCAAUUUCAUAAGGUACAAAAAUGUACCGGCACUAAAGGGUACACAAUUGUCCCUCAAAAGGGUACCUCCCCUGCGACAAGCAUUUGUACCCUUUUAAGUACACACCCGUACUUCUAUUUCUGAGUGUGGGAUGGGGAGGGAAAGCAUUCAUUUUGUAAAUGACGUGCUCCUCAAACUGAGCACAAAUUACAUUUCUCAAGGCUGUUGAAUAAUCAGAUUCCCAUAUUGCUGAGCAAGGAGGACACAGAAUGUACAAUAAAGAUUAAAGGUAAAUGUA